GGUUGGGGGCCCCGCCUCUGCCCGCGCCCCCUCCCGGCGCGCCGCGCCCAGACCCCCGCGCCAGGGAAACUGAGGCCGCGGGGUCGGUGACCGCCCAAGGGCACGCGGCCUGAGGCCUUGGAGACCUGCUCAGGCCUCGUUCCAGAAAGGGAAACUGAGGCCCGCGAGGCGGAAGGACACGUCCAAGGUCACUGAGCCCAGCCCCGGGGACCAGAGCCUCCGCCGCGUUCCACCUUCGCAAGGGAUCUUCCCCGCGCGCAGGGUUCACCCGCCUGGAGGCCACAGCCAGGCGCAGGGAAGCGAGACCGCCCCCGUGCCAGCCUCCUUCCUUUCUAGAUCACUCUCCCCGGUGGAUGGGGCGGGACAGCCAAACCUGAUGACCCCCAGCACCUCUGUCCUACUUCGUUCCAGCUCUGUCUUCUGCUGCUGGGCAAGACCCCCAAUCCCUCCCUUGCUGCCAACCGGUGUGAGACCUUGGGGUGCCCGCACCUUGCGGUGCUCUGGGUGGGGUGUCCCAAGGAGAGGAUGCAUAGCCUCCUCUGUGGGCCCAGGGAUGCCCGUGGGGUACUUCCAAAGAGCACCGGCAACGUGCCGUUUCGUCUAAUGGACACCCCAGCCCUCUGCCCUUCUGCCCUCCCAGAUUGGGACCCCGAGACACCGGUUCCUGAGCCUCCUAGCACUUGCCAAAUAUGAACCCAUGGACUCUUGAGACUUGGCUGCUGUCACUUCUUCACCCCACUCUGGGGAAACUGAGGCAGGCUCCAGCAGGCUGUUAACAAGAACGCCCCCCAGCGGCACAGAGCGCACACUGCCGUGCUCAUUAAACGCUUACAGAUGGAGGGAUGGAUACUUAAGUACUUACAAAGAAAGCUUACAAAGCUGCUUGUGAGUGGUCCCAAUUUGGCUAAUUACGCGUCCAAGUGAGGGGCAUCUGUGAGGGGAGGGUCUUUUGGGCUAGGAGGACCAGAGAGGGCUGCUAAGGAGGCCGAGCCUCGCUCGCCUCGCCACAGCACCCCCCACGCUCCAGGAAGGCCCGCUUCUGCCCCAGGCUCUGCCGGCCAGAAGCUCCCGUACGUCCCGUCUGGACCCAGUGCAGAGCGCAGCAGGAAGCAGAUGGACAGGGCCCUGGCCUCCCAGGGGACACAGAGCCCCAGCAACCCAGUGCGCACGUGUGCCUUCUGACUUCGGGCGACGAGGGAGGCUGCACCUGAGCCCCGGCAGCUUCCCCAGCGAGGGGCCAGCUCGUCAUCACCUCCUCCCCCGCCACAGCCCAGCCACGACACGGGUGCCCAGCCAGUGUUGCUUCGUGAUCUCCACAAAGUAAGCCCAGGGAAUACUUGCAGCUGACAGUGUGGCCGCCAGAGCUCAGCGGGGGUGGGGGCACCCCGGUCAGCUCCAUUUCAGAGCCUGGAGUCUCAAACUGGCAGUUCGCGGGCCAGGCUUGACCUCGCGGGCGUCAUUACGCUGGAGUUUUUGCCCACAUUGAAAAUUAAGAAUUUCACAUGCAAGCCCCAAUUUCUGGCUGCUACGGACACUUGGGAAUAGCUGGCUCAGGGCUCCUUGGCCUCCGGUUCCUCCUGACCCCAGAGGGGAGGUAUGAGAUGACCACACUCCCUAGGAGUGGCUGCGGGGUCACUCCUCCUCUGUACCAAGCAGGAGGCCUACAUGGCACGGGCCAGAGCCCCCAGGUUUGGCGAGGACGAAGCUCAUGAGGCCCUACCUCCUGUGAUCUGCUCCCAUGGAGUGUUCCCCAGACCCUCAGCCCCACCCAUGUUUGUUGCAGUUGUCAGGCUGGGCUGUGCAAACAGGGACUCCCUUUCUCCUGGGGGCCGGCUCAGAAGGGCCACCUCCCUACCACAGCACUGCCCUUUGGGGCUUUCUAGGCCUCAGUGGCCCCCCUUCAGCUGGACAAAGUCCCAAGGGGCUGGCUCCACUACGGACACCUGCCGGGAUCCAUCAGGAGGGCCUGCCCCACCCCCCACCCCCUCACCUCCCACUCAAACCACAGGGAGCUUCCUGCCCAGGGCAGGUGGGUGCCAGGCAGCUGUGGGUG